UGUUUUAUGCCAUAGUUGUGAAUUACUAGGGGCAUGGUGCUGAUAACGCCAAGGUUGCAGGUUCGAUCUCUGCCUGGGACAG